UCAUGCUUGCAAUCUCAACACUUUGGGAGGCUGAGAUGGGAGGAUCACUUGAGGCCAGGAGUUCAAGACCAACCUGGUCAGCACAGUGUGACCUCAUCUGUAUAAAAAAUAAAAUAAAAAGAAGUAUAAACAUAUAUAGUAUUUAUUUUUCUAAACUCAAAUUUAAGCAGGCAUCCUGUUUUUAAAGUUCUAUUGCUAUUUUCUUCUUUUUGAGGUGGAUUCCCGCUCUGUCGCCCAAGCGGAAGUGCAGUGGCGUGAUCUCGGCUCACUGCAACCUUCGCCUCCCAGAUUCAAGCGAUUCUGCCUCAGCCUUCCGAGUAGCUGGGAUUACAGGCAACUGCCACCAUGCCCAGCUAAUGGUCUCAAACUGCCAACCUCAGUUCUGGAGGCCAAGAGUCUGGAAUGAUCUUACAAGGUUAACAUCAAGGUGUUGGCAGAGCUGGUUUCUUCUGGACGCUCUAGAGCAAGCUUGUCCAACCUGCAGCCUGUGGGCCAAAUUCGUCCCAGGAUGGCUUUGAAUGGCCUCUGCGUUUGCUGUUGCCUCUGCCAGGAACACUCAGCCCACGGAUCUUCACCUAGCCAGCUCCUUCUUAUUCUAAGAAUAGAUUAUUACCACCUCAAGGAGACCUCCCUGCCACCCUAGGAAAAGUGCCCCUCUUCUUAUAAAGGCCUCCCUUUUAUACAUACCAUUUUAUUAUCCUCAUAAUUAUUAUCAUAUCUGGACCUAUCUUACUUGUUUUUGUACUUUCUGUCUUCCUUCUACCCCCAUGCCACCCAGGAUAUAAACUCUGUGAAAGAGGAAUCGUUGUGGUUUUAAUAUGUACAGACAUGGCCGGGCACGGUGGCUCACGCUUGUAAUCCCAGCACUUUGGGAGGCCGAGGCGGGCGGAUCACGAGGUCAGGAGAUCGAGACCACGGUGAAACCCUGUCUCUACUAAAAAAUACAAAAAAUUAGCCGGGCGUAGUGGCAGGCGCCUGUAGUCCCAGCUACUCGGAGAGGCUGAGGCAGGAGAAUGGUGUGAACCCGGGAGGCGGAGCUUGCAGUGAGCCGAGACUGCGCCACUGCACUCCAGCCUGGGCGACAGAGCAAGACUCUGUCUCAAAAAAAAAAAAAAAAAAAAAAAACGUACAGACAUUCUCUGACACUCCGCCCUUCAAAAAGUGGUGCCCAAUUCUUCCCCAGUCCUCUUCAAUGUGGGCUGGACUUAUUCCUAAGACACAGAGUGUGGCAGAAGGGAUCCCAUGUAACUCCUGAGGCUAGGUCGUAGAAAGGAUAGCAUCAACUUGACUCACUCCGUCUUGGAUCAUUUGCUCUGAGGGAAGCCAUCCGCCAUGUUGGAAGGACACUCAAGCAGCUUUAUGGAGAAUCCCACAUGGAGAAGAAAUAGUUGCCAGGCAUGGGAGUGAGGACUUCAAAAGUAGAUCUUUCAGAUGAUUUCAGCCCUGCAACCUUCAAUUCUUCUGGCUGACACCCCAGACAUAUAGAGCCAAGACAAACCAUUCCCAAUGCCCACUGUGCCCUCUCUGAAUUCCUGACCCACAGGAAUCGUUAGAAA